rnacentral:rRNA from 1 species
GAUGAACGCUGGCUACAGGCUUAACACAUGCAAGUCGAGGGGAAACGAUAUUGGAAGCUUGCUUCCGAUAGGCGUCGACCGGCGCACGGGUGAGUAACGCGUAUCCAACCUGCCCACCACUUGGGGAUAACCUUGCGAAAGUAAGACUAAUACCCAAUGAUAUCUCUAGAAGACAUCUGAAGGAGAUUAAAGAUUCAUCGGUGAUGGAUGGGGAUGCGUCUGAUUAGCUUGUUGGCGGGGUAACGGCCCACCAAGGCGACGAUCAGUAGGGGUUCUGAGAGGAAGGUCCCCCACAUUGGAACUGAGACACGGUCCAAACUCCUACGGGAGGCAGCAGUGAGGAAUAUUGGUCAAUGGGCGAGAGCCUGAACCAGCCAAGUAGCGUGCAGGAUGACGGCCCUAUGGGUUGUAAACUGCUUUUAUAAGGGAAUAAAGUGAGUCUCGUGAGACUUUUUGCAUGUACCUUAUGAAUAAGGACCGGCUAAUUCCGUGCCAGCAGCCGCGGUAA